AUUGAACGCUGGCGGCAGGCUUAACACAUGCAAGUCGAACGAGUGGCGGACGGGUGAGUAAUGCUUGGGAAUCUGGCUUAUGGAGGGGGAUAACGACGGGAAACUGUCGCUAAUAACGCGUACCAUAGGAUGAGCCCAAGUGGGAUUAGGUAGUUGGUGGGGUAAUGGCCUACCAAGCCGACGAUCUCUAGCUGGUCGGAGCGGAAGACCGGCCACACCGGGACUGGGACACGGCCCGGCCUCCUACGUGAGGCAGCAGUGGGGAAUAUUGCGCAAUGGCGGAAACCUGACGCAGCCAUGCCGCGUGAAUGAAGAAGUCCUUCGGGUUGAAAAGUUCUUUCGGUGACGAGGCGUUAAUCACAGAAGAAGCACCGGCUAACUCCGUGCCAGCAGCCGCGGUAAUAC
rnacentral:rRNA from 1 species